GCAUGUUGGUGGCAGCAUCAUGAUGUGAAGCAUGUUGGUGGCAGCAUCAUGAUGUUAAGCACGGUGGUGGUGGCAGCAUCAUGAUGUGAAGCAUGGUGGCGGCAUCAUGAUGUUUCUCAGCAGUAAAGGUAAAAUCUUAAGGACUAAGGACCAGAAUCUUUGUUAAAUAGUUUUCAAACGGCAGCAUUCAAGUUCUUUAGUUAAUUCUUCACGUUCUUUAGUUUCUGGGUUCUCACCAUCCCGCUAUCGUGGCCGGAGACGUUGGGGUCCCAGACGUCGUCAUCUUCGGUCAGAGACUUUCCGUCCAUCACCUGGCUGACACUGCGUCUCAGGGCGUUUACACUGAGCAUGCCCAGUUCACCUGGAGGAGGGGCGUCAUUAGCAGGGUGGAGUUUAGCCUCGGGUACCUCCUGGAAACACAGAACAUUCCUGAAACGUCUAAACAUCUCAUCGUCCAUGAAGAGCUGCUGGAGGUUCAUAUGGUUCUGGUAGUACCUCCAUCCUCAUGGUGAAGCCCCUCAGGGUCACGGUGUUGGAGAAUCCUGUCGUAUCAGGAACCGUGUCGAACUGGACAGGAGGAAACACUUCAGUUAUUAAUGAACUCUGGUGUUCAGUGUGUCGACACAAAUAUGUUUUUAAACAAUUUUGAAUCAAUUUUCACCCGUUUUCUGCCCAUAAACCUCCAAACAAGUGCAGAGAAAACCUUAAAAACACACAAUAAGGGUUAGUUUGACUUUACAUGUUGGAUAGAUUUAAUAAAAUAGUAUCUGAUUUGCAUAAUUCCACAUAAAAUAUAUACAUUUCACAACACUUGUGACAGAAAUAAUCAAUUUCACAGUAAGGGAAUUACCUGGGGAGGUUGUAUACUAAUACUUGUCAUAUUUUCAAUAUAGAAAGGUAUAAAACAAUUAAAAAAUAAUAAAUUUAAAAAAUAAAAAAAUAGAUAUUUAGAGAUUUUAUUUAUUAGAUUUUUUUAUUUAUUUUUUACAUUUUAUUAAUAAAUUCCACACAUUUUUCAGACAUUUUAAAAAUAUUUCUGGGAUUUGACAUUUGACAUUUUAAAAAUAAUUUUCAGACAUUAUCGAGACACUAUUCAUUUUCAAGAAUUUUUUGAAUACAUUUUUAGUUUUUAGUUUUAAUUUUUAAAAUAUCUUUCUUGCAUUUUGCGUUUUAUUUUAUUCAUUAAUUAAUUUUUAUUCCUGUCUAUAUUUUUCAGGUUUUUACAGAGUAGGUUUAUUUACAUGUAACAUGACAAAAAAAAAAAGAGUAAUUAAAAGAGAUAUUUAAAGUCCCGUCUGUAAAGAUUUGGAUUUUAAUUUGUCAACAAAAUGAAACAAGAAUUUUGAAGGUGGAGUCAUCAAAUGUUCAUGUUUUUAUUUUGUAAUUUAAUGUAAAUAAUCGAAUUUUCCCAAGCUGAUAAAUGUUAUUUUAUUUAUUUUCAUUUAUUUUUUUUAUGUUUUCUCACCAGAGCAGAGCUGCUGGCCGGAUAAACAGCUGCCGGGUUCCUCUUCUGGAUGGGCAGUGGGGGGCGCUCUCUGGAGAACGGGGGUCUGUUCAGGGCCUUUUCACAAUAAGAGCACAGAGUAGACUUUAAAGGCUAGUUUAUUUCACAAUAAGAGUAUUAAGUAGAAAUUCAAGGUCUUAUUUUUGCAGUUAUUCACAAUAAAAGUACAGAGAAGAAGCUCCAAGUCUUGCUUUUGCUGGGGUUUUUCAUUGUAAGAGCACAAUUUAGAAGCUCAAAAUCUUGUUUUUUUUCAAAUUAAAAGCGCUUUGUAAAAGCCCAAACUCUUGUUUUUGCUGUUUUUGUCACAAUAAGAGAAAGACGCUCUAAAUAUAUUUUUCACAACAAGAGGACAGAGCAGACAGUCUAACUCUUAUUUUUGCUUUUUUUCUCUCUCAAUAAGAGCACAAAGUAAAAGCACAAAAUCUUGUUUGUUGUUUUUUUCACAAUUAGAGAACAGAUUAAAAUUCAGUGUUGCGUGUGUAUUUUUCACAAUAAGAGCAUCAAGUAGGAUCUCCAAGUUGUGUUUUUUCACAAUAAGAGCACAGACUAAAGGCCUAUAAUCUUGUUUUUGCUGCCCUCUGGUGGCUGAAUCUUUAGUUUCACUGCAGGUUCCUUCACACUAAAACAUUUUAAACCCAAUUAAACGUGCAGAUGGUCUCACUUUGUGCAGCAGGACUCCCAGGACCACGGCCAUCAGCAGCAGAGCCACGGCGGCCAUCACCACGAUGAACCAGAGCUGCUGGACCACCUUCUGCUGCUCUGGACCUCCUUCUGCCCGCUGACCUCCUCCUGGUGGAGGGGUGGGGCUCGCCGAGUCUGCAGGAGAGUGAAAGUAGCAGUUCCUCCUGAAGGUCAGAGAUUGCAGCAUCUGAGGGCCUCUUCAAAAGAAGACGUAGUUGAUGAAGACGUUCUGGAGCAGGACCAGAAAGACCACGACCAAGCAGCCUUGAGAUCUUAGGCAGCGUCUCCCUCAGGUCCCUCUCUAUCUCCCCACACAUCCACCAACCACUGGAACACAUCUCCAAAGUUCUGCUGGACCAGCUCAGCUUCCCCUCAGAAGAAGUGCUGCCACCUGCCAGAUGAAGGAGCCUUUUGAGAGGCAGCUGGCAUCGUGAUUGGACUGUACUUUGGUCUGUUCCAAUCCAGCUUCAGCUCCAGAGACGGCAGGCGGGACGAGUCAACGGAGGCCGGAUGGACGAAGGCAUGAAGCUGAGUACAAUCCAGAAAACAACAGAGGAGGAGUGCAGCAGCCCAGAGCCAGAACAACCAGAGUAGCAUCGUAUGUCUCUUAGAAAACAUCAUAUUAUAGCCUUUGCUAUGAAAAAACGGCAUCAUAUACAUCGUAGAUUGUACAACUAACAAGUCAAAGGAAAGAGACAUACAUUGUAGAAUUGUAGUAAUUGUGGGCUGACUGAUUUACUGAUGAGCAGUAUUUUAUUUUUUACUGAUUUACGGUAAUAAAUACAUUUAAAAAUGG